rnacentral:lncRNA from 1 species
GGGAGAGCUGUCCGUAUGCUGGUGGGGUGCAGAACUUGAUGGUGUGGAAGAGGGAGGACAACGCUGAGGUGUGCUCACUGGUGUUCCAGAGGUGGGGGGCCCGGGCACGAGGGAGGACAGAUAGCACUACUCGCUCGCCCACCCACACAGGAAGGCAGAAUUAACACUGAGUGGAUUGAAGAUGACAGCUCCCGAUCUUACUGCUCUCAUUCCCCACCAAAUCAGAGAUGGAGGGGAAGAAGCCCUCACCACCCUCGAUCCCUGCCACUUGCCUUAGUCCUGUGAAGGAGUCACAGCCUUAAGAGUGCUCUGGUGACUGUUUUGAUCGACCAGAUUUGAUAGAUCACAAGAAUGCCAUUAUGGAUGACGGUUUUUUUCCUAUGUAUUGGACAUAAUAGAAAUGAAGUUAAAACCAAAAGCUUGAGUCUCUAAGGCAGCAUUCCCAAAACGGUCUGCCCUUACCUAUUUUGAAAGAGUCACAUGACUUCAUCCGGGACCUGAAAUGGAUUUUCUCCAUCUUAAAAUCUCACGGCCUACGAAUGACAUUAUUCACUGAACACUCAUCCAAAGUGGCAGCAGCACGGAAUGGAGGAGGGUCACUGCUCCCUAACAAAUCACAUCGUCAAGCAGCACAACACACAUCCUGUAUGUUUAAGUCAUGACAACUAUAUGACCCUCUCGCUGACUAAUGAUCAACAAAUGAGCCUCCAAAGGCCAUUAUCGAAACUCUUAUGCUCAUAUUCUAGCCCAAAAUGCACAUUUGGGGAUGGGGAAAGUGGUCUCA